UACGAAGGGUGCAAGCGUUACUCGGAAUUACUGGGCGUAAAGCGUGCGUAGGUGGUUUGUUAAGUCUGAUGUGAAAGCCCUGGGCUCAACCUGGGAACUGCAUUGGAUACUGGCUGACUAGAGUGCGGUAGAGGGGUGUGGAAUUCCCGGUGUAGCAGUGAAAUGCGUAGAUAUCGGGAGGAACAUCUGUGGCGAAGGCGGCGAUCUGGGUCGAUACUGACGCUGAGGUGCGAAAGCGUGGGGAGCAAACAGG
rnacentral:rRNA from 1 species